GGCGUGCCUAAUACAUGCAAGUAGAACGCUGAAGGAGGAGCUUGCUUCUCUGGAUGAGUUGCGAACGGGUGAGUAACGCGUAGGUAACCUGCCUGGUAGCGGGGGAUAACUAUUGGAAACGAUAGCUAAUACCGCAUAAGAGUAGAUGUUGCAUGACAUUUGCUUAAAAGGUGCAAUUGCAUUACUACCAGAUGGACCUGCGUUGUAUUAGCUAGUUGGUGGGGUAACGGCUCACCAAGGCGACGAUACAUAGCCGACCUGAGAGGGUGAUCGGCCACACUGGGACUGAGACACGGCCCAGACUCCUACGGGAGGCAGCAGUAGGGAAUCUUCGGCAAAGGACGAAAGUCUGACCGAGCAACGCCGCGUGAGUGAAGAAGGUUUUCGGAUCGUAAAGCUCUGUUGUAAGAGAAGAACGAGUGUGAGAGUGGAAAGUUCACACUGUGACGGUAUCUUACCAGAAAGGGACGGCUAACUACGUGCCAGCAGCCGCGGUAAUACGUAGGUCCCGAGCGUUGUCCGGAUUUAUUGGGCGUAAAGCGAGCGCAGGCGGUUAGAUAAGUCUGAAGUUAAAGGCUGUGGCUUAACCAUAGUACGCUUUGGAAACUGUUUAACUUGAGUGCAAGAGGGGAGAGUGGAAUUCCAUGUGUAGCGGUGAAAUGCGUAGAUAUAUGGAGGAGCACCGGUGGCGAAAGCGGCUCUCUGGCUUGUAACUGACGCUGAGGCUCGAAAGCGUGGGGAGCAAACAGGAUUAGAUAGCCUGGUAGUCCACGCCGUAAACGAUGAGUGCUAAGUGUUAGACCC
rnacentral:rRNA from 1 species